ensembl:lncRNA
AAACAGAACAUGAAAUCUAUAGAAAAGUGGCCAUGGAGUUGAACGUUUUCCAACUAAAUCCUCAAGGACCCCUAGACGGACAUGUUGCUUGAUCUGAGCUCUCAGCACACUUGUACCACUUAUUCAGCAUUCUUGAUUACUUGGUAGAGGUGUGAUUAGGUCUGGGAUAAAGCAUAAAUGCAGGAAUACUUGGGUUGAGAAACAUUAUAGUCUAUUCAUAUUAAUUUUUUUCUUUUUUUCUUUUUUGUGGUUCAUUCAUUUAUGUUUAUUUAUUUAUUUUUUAUUAAUUUGAUAAGUUCAAAGGAGACAUAUGUCCCUUUCACUCAUUCUCUACCUCAUAACGUUGUUGACCGACAGACUCCUCUUCCCAGUUUUGCUGACGACAAAUGUUUUUCCUGUUGCUGCGUCGCCCCUCGGCUGAAGUCCUGGAAGGCCACUAGCUGCGCCUUGUCACGUUUGAGCUAUCUUUACCCUGUGAUUUACUUUUAGAAAUGAUAAUCAUGGUGGAAAUAUUUGAAGACAGCUGUGAGACUGCACUAUAUGCUUGACCGAGCCAUGUCAAACCUCUUUCCAAAUGGAGCUGUUUUGCAUCAUUGUGGAUAUUGUUUACAAUUGGCUGGACGCUCAGUGAAGGCAAAUAGCUUCUCUGACCCUCAUCAUGAUCUGGAACAGAUACAAAUCAACCGGACUAAAUUUGCUUAACCAAAAGCGUGCAGUAUCAACAAGCACGGCCAUGCACUCCGGCGGUAGCAAGAAUGAAUGAACAGAAAUGCAUCACUGCCUAAUCUAAUCAGCCACUCCACAACCGUCUCUAAUAGCCUAAUGUCCAUUUUUAUGAGUUGUACUUAAAAAUAUGAACAAUAUGGAAAUAAACAAUUCAUUUUUAUUUCUGUCAAUUCCUUUACGGCCAUUUCUCUGCAUCUCUGGUGAAGUUGUUGGACUGUCUGUCUGAGUCCUGUGGUGGUGUGCUCUGAACCUUGUUGACAUUUUACCAAAUAUUGUCUGUAGUUUUAUACAGUUCCUGUUCAACAUUGUGAUGUAUGUGCUGUGCACAUGACAAUACCCUAACUUAAGUGGAAGUUAAUAAAGCUCAGAACAACAACAACAAAAAAAGAGCUGUGUGCUUUUAAUGCCUCCCUUUAGAAGGAAAAGCAGGGCUGAUCAGAAGCAGGGUUUAACCCGUUCCCACAAACCACAUCCACAGCUGGCAUACUG